rnacentral:rRNA from 1 species
UACGAAGGGUGCAAGCGUUACUCGGAAUUACUGGGCGUAAAGCGUGCGUAGGCGGUUUGUUAAGUCUGUCGUGAACGCCCCGGGCUCACCCUGGGAAUGGCGAUGGAAACUGGCGAGCUAGAGUACGGUAGAGGAGAGUGGAAUUCCCGGUGUAGCAGUGAAAUGCGUAGAGAUCGGAAGGAACACCAGUGGCGAAGGCGGUUACCUGGCCUAAUACUGACACUGAGGCACGAAAGCGUGGGGAGCAAACAGG